GGGGCCUGACCGACCCCGACCCAGACGGUUUGGGUUCAACUCUCCUGCACAAAAUAAGUGGAAAUGCUGAUGGAAAUAGUUAGAAUAUAUUUUCUAAAGAGCUGACCCACUAGCAAGGGGCAUCAGCCCAAGGUCUGGGUGCCGGGAGCCCAGAAUGUUAAGAUUGCUUUCGCCCGGGCGUUUGCUGAACCCGAGGAACAGAGCUCCUGAUGUGGGGAGUGGCGGGCGCGCUCGGGGUGCACGUGCAACGGAGACACCGCCCCUAAACCUGGGGCCCUGAGGCUAACAGCUAACAGUGGCCCUGCCGUUACGGCCAGUGUCAGGUGCCAGCUGGGCUGGACCAGGAAUUCCCAGAAACCUGGCAAGGCAUGAUUUGGGGUGGGUCGUGCUGAGGGCCACACCAUCCGCUUCCCCGCUUCUGAGGCCUUCCGACCUGGGCUGAGCCCGGCUACCCGAGUCCCGGGGUCUCCGGCUCACAGACUUCUCGGCCUCCGUAAUUGCAAACGCCAGCUCCCCCAGUCCAUCUCCUGUCCUGGAUCUACGUCUAUAUCCUACUGGAUCCGUCUCUCUGGAGAACCCUAAUACAGCUGUCAACACAAGGAUGAACUAACUACAAGAAGGCCUGAAUAGGAACUCUCCCAGGGGACGAAGAGGUUUCAGCCUUCAGCAAAGGAUGGUUCAUAGAAACCGUUCGCAUAGUCGGCCCUCCACGGACUGCAACCCUAGUUAAUAUUACCUACAGUAAACAAAAAAUUCAAGUAUAGAUUUUAGUCUAAAGCAAAUAGGAAAUGUCGCUUCCCUGGACGUUGGGAGAAGCAAACACGAAUCCUCUCCUGAGGCCGGAAGCGGUGGCUCACGCCUGUAAUCCCAGCACUUUGGGAGGCUGAGGCGGGCGGAUCAUUUUAUAACUAUCUAUUAAAUGUUUAAGUUUUCAGUCCAUUUUUCCUGUCUACAUGGAAUUGCCGACUGCACAAAGAACACAUGAGGGCUCUCUCAAGGCCAUCAUUUCCGCGGAGUCCCAUUUCCUGACUCAAAUGACAAGCUCUCAACUUUCUACUCAAGAUCAUUGAAACAUCUGUGUUGAUUAUUUGUAACCGGGAUAUGCUUUAUUUAUUAGAUAAGAGACUAACCGUUGAUGGCGGCAGCAGCCUGUCUGGAGCAGUCACUACAUAGACAUGCGACACCCACAGAUGGCGGCGGCCAGUCUGGAGCAGUCUCUGUAUAGACAUGCGACGCCCACAGAUGGCGGCGGCCAGUCCGGAGCAGUCUCUGCGUGGGCACGCGACGCCCACAGAUGGCGGCGGCCCGUCUGGAGCAGUCACUGCGUGGGCAUGCGACGCCCACAGAUGGCGGCGGCCUGUCUGGAGCAGUCUCUGCAUGGGCAUGCGACGCCCACAGAUGGCGGCGGCCUGUCUGCAGCAGUCUCUGCAUAGAUAUGUGACACGCACAGAUGGCGGCGGCCUGUCUGGAGCAGUCACUGUCAUGACACCAGCAGCAGUGGGGAGGUGGCGCCGGGGCUGCGUGCUCCACGGAGCUGGUGGGAGCCAGGAACAGGCAGAAGCCACCCACCUUCCAAGCCAGCAGGGAGAGAGCCUUGUGCUCCCCAGGUUCAGUGGCAGCUGCCCAGCCAUGGUUCCAGAUCUGCGCAUUCCUUUGCUCUUGGGGGUGGGAGUGGGCAGGAACCCCAUCCUCCUGGGUGCAGGUGCAGCUUCCCAACCAUGGCUGAGAAGGGGCUGAGGGCAGCUCCUUGGCACAAUCAGCCUGGACGCCAUAGAUGACGGCAGGAGGCAGAGAGGCUCUUGGGUGGAAAGGGGCAGGUCCACAGUGAAGGCCCACCCUGAAGCCAGGGAUGGCCUGAAGCCUGGGAGCUGGGCUGAGGGACCAGAAUGGGAAC
rnacentral:lncRNA from 1 species